CGUAGCCUUUGUGUUUAUUGCUUUCUUCUAUUACACUAGUAACUCUCCGAUUUUUUUCUGCAUUAACGGCCUCUUCUUUGCACCAAACAUCAAAGACGUGCAUGCGUGAAAAUUCGCACUUACAAGAAGCACCCAUUAAAAAUGAAAACAUAAAAAUAAGCGAAAAAAUAAUAUGCGAAAUUAUCGACAAACACAAAUGACGAAAACAAAAGAAACAUCACAAAAGCAAAGGAAGAGCAGCAGAUUGCGUUGCGAAUUUGACCUUGAAUAUACUGAACUUAACAUUUUUAUUACCUGAAAACAAUGCUGUGAUAUCACACAUAAAGGGGGAAUCGGGGGGCAACAUAUCUAGAAGUCUACUUAAACAUGAAAAAGACGUAAUACACAUAAUACACAAAAAAUGUAUAAUUAAUUAAAAACACAUAACGAACAAAAUAUUUAUCAAAUCAAUUUUGUAGAAUAAUGAGAUUAGUAGUAUAAGUAAUACUGAAGUUGAAAGAAAAAAUUGAAGUCUAGUCUAUGUUAGCAUAGGGCGGAGCGGGAGUGAAAUAAAGCUCAGUUGCGCUCUCUUGCGAAUUCGCCCCGCUUCGCUGCAAUAGAUUAGCUUAAGUUAUUUUUGGUUGACUAUAGCGAAUUAUAACGUUAAGUCGAGUGCUUCUAAUUUUCUUUUUCGUUGUUGUGGAAAUUUUAGUAAACAGCCGCUCAUUCAUUUUUAAAAUAUUUGAGAUAAAAUAAUCUCAUUAAACAUUUUGGCGCCCCCGGGUGGGCUUGUUUACUAUAAUUUAUAAAUUAAAGCAGCUAAUGACAGUGACACAACAAAUACAUAGAAAUCAAAAAUAAAAAUAAAAAGUUGCUCGCGACGGUAAUGCUGUGAACUUUGAAAACAAUAAACAAAUAAAACAAUUUAAAGUUCGGGUCGCGAAACAACUUUUUAUUGAUCAACUGGAUUGAUUCAGCGCCUUGAGUGAAGGAGUCAUCGUCAUCCCCAUGCCCUACACCUCCAUCGAAUGUACUAGAAAAGUAGCCGCAGGAUUAAAGGAUCCAAACUCAGAACCGCAGAAUAUUGCACCUUCCUUUCAAUUCUUGGCGCAUACGUACUUCAAAAUAGUAGAGC